ensembl:lncRNA
ACGGAACAGUGACCUGGGAUGUUUGGGAACCAUUUAAUAACGAGCAUCAGAUGUGAAAGCCAGCUUUUAAGAGAACGUGAAAACUUCCUAGAAAUGCAACUCCAAAUCAGCUUCCAAAUCUCAUUUCUUGGAGAAUGGAAAUAUAAUUGGAUUCGUGAAACCUGAUUUCAUCUGCUGAAUGAGAAGUAUGACUCCACCAAAGGCCAACAGUGAAGACUUUUAGUAUUGGUUAAAGGAGCCUGGCCUCAUCCUGCCUCUCUAUAUCUGUCUUGAAAAGACUAUGGGAGGAGAUGUGGAUUGAGUGUCCUAUGGAUUUUCCCAGAAGGUUUGCUGGAGCAGGACCUGACUGUCUACCCCCAAU